UACGAAGGGAGCUAGCGUUGUUCGGAAUCACUGGGCGUAAAGCGCACGUAGGCGGAUGUGUCAGUCAGGGGUGAAAUCCCGGAGCUCAACUUCGGAACUGCCUUUGAUACAGCACGUCUUGAGUCCGAUAGAGGUGGGUGGAAUUCCUAGUGUAGAGGUGAAAUUCGUAGAUAUUAGGAAGAACACCGGUGGCGAAGGCGGCCCACUGGAUCGGUACUGACGCUGAGGAGCGAAAGCGUGGGUAGCAAACAGG
rnacentral:rRNA from 1 species